rnacentral:rRNA from 1 species
AUUGAACGCUAGCGGGAUGCUUUACACAUGCAAGUCGAACGGCAGCGCGGACUUCGGUCUGGCGGCGAGUGGCGAACGGGUGAGUAAUGUAUCGGAACGUGCCCAGUAGCGGGGGAUAACUACGCGAAAGCGUAGCUAAUACCGCAUACGCCCUACGGGGGAAAGCAGUGGAUCGUAAGACCUUGCACUAUUUGAGCGGCCGAUAUCGGAUUAGCUAGUUGGUGAGGUAACGGCUUACCAAGGCGACGUUCCGUAGCUGGUUUGAGAGGACGACCAGCCACACUGGGACUGAGACACGGCCCAGCCUCCUACGGGAGGCAGCAGUGGGGAAUUUUGGACAAUGGGGGCAACCCUGAUCCAGCCAUCCCGCGUGUGCGAUGAAGGCCUUCGGGUUGUAAAGCACUUUUGGCAGGAAAGAAACGUCGCGGGCUAAUACCCCGUGGAACUGACGGUACCUGCAGAAUAAGCACCGGCUAACUACGUG